AACGUAGGUGGCAAGCGUUAUCCGGAAUUACUGGGCGUAAAGGGUGUGCAGGCGGGGAAGCAAGUGGGGUGUGAAAUAUCCCAGCUUAACUGGGAGGGGUUAUGCCAGACUGCUUUUCUAGAGGACGAGAGAGGGGGGUGGAAUUCCGGGUGUAGUGGUGAAAUGCGUAGAGAUCCGGAGGAACCCCAGAGGCGAAGGCGGCCCCCUGGCUCGUACCUGACGCUCAGCCACGAAAGCAUGGGGAGCGAACGGG
rnacentral:rRNA from 1 species